CUUGCUCCUGAGAGCACAGGGGACAGAGUCAGAAUGGAGACAAACUUAAGGGCAAACUGAGAGCUUAUAAUUUAUUCUACAGGAUAAUGCUGGGCAAUCAACGCAUGCUCUGAGCCAAAGAGUAAUCAGAUGAGAAUAAUACUUUAGAAAGAUAAUCUGCCUAUGGGACGGUGCUGCCUUUUGCUCACAGACUCGGUUUUAUGAGCGUGUCCUCAUUGAAAAGUCCCCGGGCCCCUCUGGCAGUUGUCGCGAUAUUAGAAUCUCCCGAGCUGGAAAACAACAGCGACAGCACCGCGGCAGUAACGUGGACAGCAAUCAGGACAACGGUGACCAGCAAAGCCAGCAAGGGCAGAGAUUUUGCAGGCUUACGGUGCUCACCAUCGCAUGAAACGCUACUCAUUAUAUUGCUUCCCGCUCGGUGACUCCGCGCCAAACUCCAGCCUGCCCAGGGUCAGGGCUUGCUGGGGUUGCCGCUGCUCCAUUGUGUGUGCUAUACUGGGAUCAAAGCAUUCUUUCCCCUUCCUCAUCUACCUCUUCUCCCUACUGCUUGUCUGCCUUCUCCUGCAGGGGGUCAGGCUGGCCACAUUUGCACGUCUCAGUGCAUAGCCCUUUUAUACAAAGUUUUCUUUGUUAAUCAGGAGAAGUAAAUGCAAAUCCUCUCGAUGGACAAUGAACUGCUUUGAGAAGAAGGUGUGACAGUGAUAUAAUGACCUGGUGAAUUUUCAGGCAAGGGAAAUCAAAAUAUCUUGGUUUUAUUUUCCAGAGAUUAGUAUGUGAGGUGUGUGUGUGUGUGUGUGUGUGUGCGUGUGUGCGUGCGCGUGUGUUUGUGGGUGGGGAGAUGUGUGUCUUUUUGCCCACAUUCUUGCUCUGGCAAACAAUGUCCCUAUGUAAUAGAGUUCUUGGAAUCUCUCCUUUUCCACGGUCAUAUUUGAAUUCUCCUUCGGAUUUGAGUGUCAGAGCCAGAAGAUUUUGUUUUUUGUUGCAACUGCGGGAUAUGUCAUCUGUGUGCCUUCAGUCUGCUCGAUGAGCCUUAAUACCUCACCUCCGUGUGUCCCUCUGGAAGUCCUUGGCCAGGGUUGGGAGGGGUACACGGGCCACCUUCCUGUCAUUAGUCAUGAAACCAGAUUGAACUGAGACAUAAGCGCUGCCCUCCAUCAUGUUUCUCUGCAAGAUAUUAAUAAAAACACAGUGGCCGUA